GUAAUCGAGGCAGAAACGCCACAAGCCCCCGGGCUUGUGAACAAGGAGCACCGGUAAAAGGUCGCCGUGCCGCUGCAGGAGAUGAGCCAACAGGGGCGGCUCAGAGUCUGCUAUGGCGGUCGACAGCUGAGAGGGAAAUGCUGGAGAAGUGCCACCCUCGCCCUUCCACUGCACCAUGCGCCCUUGACGCCAGAAAGUCAUGGUCAGUGCGUCGAAGUCCCAAAGGAUGGGUCCGAG
rnacentral:lncRNA from 1 species